GACGAACGCUGGCGGCAUGCCUAAUACAUGCCAGUUGAACGAUGAUAUUCUCUGCUUGCAGAGAAUUGAAGAGUAGCGAACGGGUGAGUAACACGUGGGGAACCUGCCCAUGAGAGGGGGAUAACAUUCGGAAACGGAUGCUAAUACCGCAUAAUGCUUUGGACCGCCUGGUCCAGAGACGAAAGACGGCUUUUGCUGUCACUCAUGGAUGGCCCCGCGCCGUAUUAGCUAGUUGGUGAGGUAAUGGCUCACCAAAGCUGUGAUACGUAGCCGACCUGAGAGGGUGAUCGGCCACACUGGGACUGAGACACGGCCCAGACUCCUACGGGAGGCAGCAGUAGGGAAUCUUCCACAAUGGGCGAAAGCCUGAUGGAGCAAUGCCGCGUGAAUGAAGAAGGUCUUCGGAUCGUAAAGUUCUGUUAUUAGAGAAGAACAAGUCAAGGAGUAACUGUCUUGACUUUGACGGUACCUAACCAGAAAGUCACGGCUAACUACGUG
rnacentral:rRNA from 1 species